UGCAGUCGAGCGGUANCAGGAAGUAGCUUGCUACUUCGCUGACGAGCGGCGGACGGGUGAGUAAUGCCUGGGAAUAUGCCUUGAUGUGGGGGAUAACUAUUGGAAACGAUAGCUAAUACCGCAUAAUGCCUACGGGCCAAAGAGGGGGAUCUUCGGACCUCUCGCGUCAAGAUUAGCCCAGGUGGGAUUAGCUAGUUGGUGGGGUAAAGGCUCACCAAGGCGACGAUCCCUAGCUGGUCUGAGAGGAUGAUCAGCCACACUGGAACUGAGACACGGUCCAGACUCCUACGGGAGGCAGCAGUGGGGAAUAUUGCACAAUGGGGGAAACCCUGAUGCAGCCAUGCCGCGUGUAUGAAGAAGGCCUUCGGGUUGUAAAGUACUUUCAGCAGUGAGGAAGGUGGUAGUGUUAAUAGCACUAUCAUUUGACGUUAGCUGCAGAAGAAGCACCGGCUAACUCCGUGCCAGCAGCCGCGGUAAUACGGAGGGUGCGAGCGUUAAUCGGAAUUACUGGGCGUAAAGCGCAUGCAGGCGGUCUGUUAAGCAAGAUGUGAAAGCCCGGGGCUCAACCUCGGAACAGCAUUUUGAACUGGCAGACUAGAGUCUUGUAGAGGGGGGGUAGAAUUUCAGGUGUAGCGGUGAAAUGCGUAGAGAUCUGAAGGAAUACCGGUGGCGAANNNGGCCCCCUGGACAAAGACUGACGCUCAGAUGCGAAAGCGUGGGGAGCAAACAGNAUUA
rnacentral:rRNA from 1 species